rnacentral:rRNA from 1 species
AUUGAACGCUGGCGGCAGGCCUAACACAUGCAAGUCGAGCGGAUGAAGGGAGCUUGCUCCUGGAUUCAGCGGCGGACGGGUGAGUAAUGCCUAGGAAUCUGCCUGGUAGUGGGGGAUAACGUCCGGAAACGGGCGCCAAUACCGCAUACGUCCUGAGGGAGAAAGUGGAGGAUCUUCGGACCUCACGCUAUCAGAUGAGCCUAGGUCGGAUUAGCUAGUUGGUGGGGUAAAGGCCUACCAAGGCGACGAUCCGUAACUGGUCUGAGAGGAUGAUCAGUCACACUGGAACUGAGACACGGUCCAGACUCCUACGGGAGGCAGCAGUGGGGAAUAUUGGACAAUGGGCGAAAGCCUGAUCCAGCCAUGCCGCGUGUGUGAAGAAGGUCUUCGGAUUGUAAAGCACUUUAAGUUGGGAGGAAGGGCAGUAAGUUAAUACCUUGCUGUUUUGACGUUACCAACAGAAUAAGCACCGGCUAACUUCGUG